rnacentral:rRNA from 1 species
GUCCACGCCCUAAACGAUGUCUACUAGUUGUCGGGUCUUAAUUGACUUGGUAACGCAGCUAACGCGUGAAGUAGACCGCCUGGGGAGUACGGUCGCAAGAUUAAAACUCAAAGGAAUUGACGGGGACCCGCACAAGCGGUGGAUGAUGUGGAUUAAUUCGAUGCAACGCGAAAACCUUACCUACCCUUGACAUGGAUGGAAUCCCGGAGAGAUUUUGGGAGUGCCCGAAAGGGAACCAUCACACAGGUGCUGCAUGGCUGUCGU